UCUCGCUCUCUCUCUCUCUGUCUCUCUCUCUCUCUCUCUCUCUCUCUCUCUCUCUCUCUCUCUCUCUCUCUCUCUCUCUCAUAGGCUACCGGUCUAUUUACUUUCGAGCAUAGUUGGCUAUUGACUGAGCGAUGUACAAAGGGUACAUCUAAUAUCUAAUAUUUGUUUUGUAACAGGAAUAAAACAGUCAUGUCAGAAAAGGAGAGACCUGCCUUGCAUGUCAGUAAGCAUUAUACUGUUAGUCUACACCUGUUAUUUAUGAAGCAUGUGACGAAUAACAUUUGAUUUGAUUUGAUUUGCAAUGUGAUUAUGAUUUCGGCCUACGUUAUGAAAGUCAACUAAAUAUAUAUCAGGUGACGUGCUGCUAUGUGAUCUUCUUACCAACGUUAAAUGCAUCUGUUUUAUCAUUAGUUCUACUUUUUACUGUUUUUUAUUAGCCUACCAUAAGUAUUAUUCCUGUGUAUCAAGGAACUACAAUAUCUGCUUGCAGUACAGUUGAUCAACCACUAGGAGGUGUGUGUCCGCAUGGUCUUAGAUUAGCAUGGAGGUACGCGCACUUUCCUGCCAAGUUUAAAAUGUGUAAAUACUAACCUUUUAGAGAAAACUGUCAGACUGAAGGUUUGUGCUCACGCACCUUUGAUAAAUGAGGUCCUUCCUGGUGUGAAUAAGAUGGUUGUACUGUGUGGAGACGCCCUUCUAAACAUGGAGAGUCUAUUAGGACCAGUCUGUUAGUGCUGAAACUAUGGACCAGUCUAUUAGUGCUGAAACUAUGGACCAGUCUAUUAGUGCUGAAACUAUGGACCAGUCUGUUAGUGCUGAAACUAUGGACCAGUCUAUUAGUGCUGAAACUAUGGACCAGUCUAUUAGUGCUGAAACUAUGGACCAGUCGGUUAGUGCUGAAACUAUGGACCAGUCUGUUAGUGCUGAAACUAUGGACCAGUCUGUUAGUGCUGAAACUAUGGACCAGUCUGUUAGUGCUGAAACUAUAGACCAGUCUAUUAUUGCUGAAACAAUGGACCAGUCUGUUAGUGCUGAAACUAUGGACCAGUCUGUUAGUGCUGAAACUAUGGACCAGUCUGUUAGUGCUGAAACUAUGGACCAGUCUGUUAUUGCUGAAACUAUGGACCAGUCUGUUAUUGCUGAAACUAUGAACCAGUCUGUUAGUGCUGAAACGAUAGACCAGUCUAUUAGUGCUGAAACUAUGGACCAGUCUGUUAGUGCUGUAACUAUGGACCAGUCUGUUAGUGCUGAAAGUAUGGACCAGUCUGUUAUUGCUGAAACUAUGGACCAGUCUAUUAGUGCUGAAACUAUGAACCAGUCUGUUAGUGCUGAAACUAUGGACCAGUCUGUUAGUGCUGAAACUAUGGACCAGUCUGUUAUUGCUGAAACUAUGGACCAGUCUGUUAUUGCUGAAACUAUGGACCAGUCUGUUAGUGCUGAAACUAUGGACCAGUCUAUUAGUGCUGAAACUAUGGACCAGUCUGUUAGUGCUGAAACUAUGGACCAGUCUAUUAGUGCUGAAAUUAUGGACCAGCUGUACCACUAGGCUGUAGACAGAGAGCUGUACCACUAGGCUGUAGACAGAGAGCUGUACCACUAGGCUGUAGACAGAGAGUUGUACCACUAGGCUGUACACAGAGAGCUGUACCACUAGGCUGUAGACAGAGAGUUGUACCACUAGGCUGUAGACAGAGAGCUGUACCACUAGGCUGUAGACAGAGAGCUGUACCACUAGGCUGUAGACAGAGAGCUGUACCACUAGGCUGUAGACAGAGAGUUGUACCACUAGGCUGUAGACAGAGAGUUGUACCACUCCCGCUGUGUAACUGAAGGUUUUGGGGGUCACCUCCGCUGUGUAACUGAAGGUUUUGGGGGUCACCCCCGCUGUGUAACUGAAGGUUUUUGGGGCUCACUCCCGCUGUGUAACUGAAGGUUUUUGGGGUCACCUCCGCUGUGUAACUGAAGGUUUUGGGGGUCACCUCCGCUGUGUAACUGAAGGUUUUGGGGGUCACCCCCGCUGUGUAACUGAAGGUUUUUGGGGCUCACUCCCGCUGUGUAACUGAAGGUUUUUGGGGUCACCUCCGCUCUGUAACUGAAGGUCUUGGGGGUCACCUCCGCUGUGUAGCUGAAGAUUUUGGGGGUCACCUCCGCUGUGUAGCUGAAGGUUUUAUGGUCACCUCCGCUGUGUAGCUGAAGGUUUUAGGGUCACCUCCGCUGUGUAACUGAAGGUUUUAGGGUCACAUCCGCUGUGUAACUGAAGGUUUUGGUGUCACCUCCGCUGUGUAACUGAAGGUUUUAGGGUCACCUCCGCUGUGUAGCUGAAGGAUUUAGGGUCACCUCCGCUGUGUAACUGAAAUUUUCGGGGUCAAAUCCGCUGUGUAGCUGAAGGUUUUGGGGUCACCCCGCUGUGUAGCAGAAGGUUUUGGGUCUCACCCCAGCUGUGUAACUGAAGGUUUUGGGGUCACCUCCGCUGUGUAGCUGAAGGUUUUGGGUCUCACCCCAGCUGUGUAACUGAAGGUUUUGGGGUCACCUCCGCUGUGUAGCUGAAGGUUUUGGGUCUCACCCCAGCUGUGUAACUGAAGGUUUUGGGUCUCACCCCAGCUGUGUAACUGAAGGUUUUGGGUCUCACCCCAGCUGUGUAACUGAUGGUUUUGGGUCUCACCCCAGCUGUGUAACUGAAGGUUUUGGGUCUCACCCCAGCUGUGUAACUGAAGGUUUUGGGUCUCACCCCAGCUGUGUAACUGAAGGUUUUGGGUCUCACCCCGCUGUGUAACUCUGGUGAGAGCUCUCUGCUAGUGAGAGAGUUGACACGACCUCUAUCUCUCCCCACUGCCAUCCUCUGUCUCCAUCUGUUCAAUAAAUUCAGAAAAUAUAUAUUUAUAAAAAGAAGUAGUCUGUCUCCACCGACUGCAUAGAAAGGAGGGAAGAAGGAGGUAGAGUGAAUGAGGGGAGGAGGUAGAUUGAACGAGGGAUGGAGAUAGAGUGAACGAGGGGUGAAGGAGGUAGAGUGAACGAGGGGUGAAGGAGGUAGAGUGAACGAGGGAAGAAGGAGGUAGAGUGAACGAGGGGAGAAGGAGGUAGAGUGAACGAGGGAAGAAGGAGGUAGAGUGAACGAGGGGAGAAGGAGGUAGAGUGAACGAGGGGAGGAGGUAGAGUGAGCGAGGGAUGGAGGUAGAGUGAACGACGGGAGAAGGAGGUAGAGUGAACGAGGGGUGAAGGAGGUAGAGUGAACGAGGGAAGAAGGAGGUAGAGUGAACGAGGGAAGAAGGAGGUAGAGUGAACGAGGGAAGAAGGAGGUAGAGUGAACGAGGGAAGAAGGAGGUAGAGUGAACGAGGGAAGAAGGAGGUAGAGUGAACGAGGGAAGAAGGAGGUAGAGUGAUGCUUGUGGAACCUCCCAC
rnacentral:lncRNA from 1 species